AGAUAUCUGCAGGAUAUUUUUAUCUCGUGAUGUGGCUGUUUUGGUAGACGCACUACUAUGGCUGUAAUAUGAAUAAGUAGUGAAGCGACCAUGCAUCUCAGUGGCUCGCAGAGGUGGAGCUUGGAUCUUUGAAAGGUCGUCAUCCUUUACUGGAAGAUGUAAAGAAGGAAGUUGCACUUGGACGUGUUAAUUUUACUACACCACCAAAUGAUGAAAAUUGUGAAGUCCUUAUUGAUGUUGGACUUGGAGAUGGAAAACUUUGAGAUAUUGAUCCCAGUGAGAUGAUUGAAUGGCCAAAUCAAUAUGUAACUCCUGCACUUGGAUGUAAUCACACUGUUUUACAUUUUAUUUGUUUACUUUUUUAUUGUUUUGAACAUGAAAUAGCUUCUGCUGUUGAAUUUAGAGAUGUUUGGGUUGUUAAGUUGUUAACUGAAUUCAAAUUUAAUUUUAUA